GUGUGCUCCUUGCGACAGCCCAGCCUGGGCGCGGUAGGAAGCCCCUCUCUCUGCUGGGAAACAGAAACCAAUAGAAAUGGGAAGCGAUCAAAAGGGCACCGUGCAUAUUAAUAGGAAGCCUCCUGGGGAGUCCACCUCAAAGUAAAAAGGCAUUGGACAUAGACGAACCAAACCCAGACCCAGUCACAUCGCUUACUCCUCCCAACCCUGUGUUCAUCAUCUGUAAAAUGGGAACAAUAAAAUCCAGCCUGCUACUCAGAAUUAAUGGGCAGUCAAUUAAUACAAUGGAGGUGAGAGUUCUUCCAAUAGCGAAAACUGUGCGACUAACUGCCAGCCGUCAAAACCAUUCCUCGUUCAGAACGUUCAGUUGGAAAACUGAGGGGCAGUGAUCAUAGCAAACUGAUUUAGCAAAAGCAAUAGGAACUGUAAGCUGAUGAAUGAUUUUUAAUAUCAAUAAAAUCAAUGUUUUUUUUUUCCUUCAUCUCACGAAGAAUGAUGCGUAGGUUAAGGGAAAUGAUAGUAAAUUCUUUGAAAAAAUGUACUAAAUAUCCAGAUCUUUGACUACUGAGAAAAGAAUAUUGUGAACAAAUAUCCAGGUACUUCAGGUUGCCAGCAAAAAGACGUCUGGGGAGCUAUCCAUGGUGCGGGCACAGCCCAGCUGAUGAACCGCAAAGGGAGGAGGAGUGGUUUGGCUCUUGAUGUGCUCAUGUGACUGCAUUCUUGGUAGGUAGGUUGAGCUACCUGCCCAGGCUGUUCCAUUGUACACUCUCCCAAAACACAGCCCUGUCUCAAGGCAAAGAUAAAGGAUUUCUGCGAAGGAUGGUGGUGAAGAGUUAAUCUUGAGUAAAUAAAAUAAAUGGAAGUCGUUCUGAACGAAAUAUGAAUAUAACAAACAUUUCUGAGAAGACGACAAACAUUUUCCGUGAUUAAAGGAAGGCUCAAGGAAUUAUUCCGAAUUUUCUGGGAAGCUUGAGGCUUUAAUAGAGAAAACAGAAAUUGAAAUUUGAAAGAAAGAAAGAAAGAAAGAAAGAGAAAGAAAGAAAGAAAGAAAGAAAGAAAGAAAGAAAGAAAGAAAGAAAGAAAGAAAGUGGCUUGGACAAGCACAGGACAAAGGAGGAAGUGUGCCUUGGAAGUUAUCCCCACCCCUGCUCUGCCUACUGUUACGACUGCUUGUCACGGAACCUCUAUUUCCACACUGAGAACCAGCUGCUGCUGAGGUCAUGGCCAGCCAGAGAGCUGUGGGGGCCAACCAGAAUACGGCAGGAGAACCCUGCCUGAAGGCCCUAAUAGCUCAAGAGGCUGUGAGAUGCCGCUGUGUAAGCCUGGGUUACAAUGGAGACUCCAAGACAUUAAAGAUGCCAGAGCCAUGAGGCAUCUAACACGGAGAGCUGCAUACAAGCUGUGAAGCCAUCUCAUGAGAGAGACGUAUGUUGCAGGAAAGUUAGAGGGGCAGAGCUAUCGAAAACCUUUGAAACUACAGUCUCAGACAUCAGGCAUGUACAGGAUUUGGUGUUUGCUCUGGUCAAGAUGUGUGCUCUCAGCUUCUGCUCUAACUGCCGUGUCUGCUGCUUGCUGCAAUGCUUCCCAGCUACAACAGACUCUCAUCCCUCUGGAACUGUAACAGAAUAAACCCUCCUUUCUAU